AUUGAACGCUGGCGGCAGGCCUAACACAUGCAAGUCGAGCGGAUGAAGGGAGCUUGCUCCUGGAUUCAGCGACGGACGGGUGAGUAAUGCCUAGGAAUCUGCCUGGUAGUGGGGGAUAACGUCCGGAAACGGGCGCUAAUACCGCAUACGUCCUGAGGGAGAAAGUGGGGGAUCUUCGGACCUCACGCUAUCAGAUGAGCCUAGGUCGGAUUAGCUAGUUGGUGGGGUAAAGGCCUACCAAGGCGACGAUCCGUAACUGGUCUGAGAGGAUGAUCAGUCACACUGGAACUGAGACACGGUCCAGACUCCUACGGGAGGCAGCAGUGGGGAAUAUUGGACAAUGGGCGAAAGCCUGAUCCAGCCAUGCCGCGUGUGUGAAGAAGGUCUUCGGACUGUAAAGCACUUUAAGUUGGGAGGAAGGGCAGUAAGUUAAUACCUUGCUGUUUUGACGUUACCAACAGAAUAAGCACCGGCUAACUUCGUG
rnacentral:rRNA from 1 species